rnacentral:lncRNA from 1 species
UUGAGUCGUUUGGGAGAAAACGGGUUUUUCGUGUGAAAUGUCGAUGUUUAAGCGUUUUCGCCAAUAAGUGAUUAUGUGAGGUUUUGGAAAAUGACUUUUGGGAUGGUUGAAACAUGAAAUUUUUUAUAGAUUAUGUUAGAGUCAAGUGUCAGGAUCGUGUAGGUGAAAACGGCAUCAAAAUCCGAUUAACGGUUUGCAUUUUACGCGCGAAAUAGUGAAAAACGCACUUUUUGGAAAAGCUGUAAGCGAACAC